rnacentral:rRNA from 1 species
GUUUGAUCAUGGCUCAGCCUGAACGCUGGCGGCGUGGCUAAGACAUGCAAGUCGCAUGGGUGUAGCAAUACAUCAGUGGCGCACGGGUGAGUAAUGUAUCGCUAAUGUACCCCGGAGCUUGGGAUAGCUGCCCGAAAGGGCAGGUAAUACCAGAUGUAUAUAACCUUGUCGCAUGGCAGGGUUCUCAAAGCAGCAAUGCACUCUGGGAGCAGGCGAUAUCGUAUCAGCUAGUUGGUGAGGUAACGGCUCACCAAGGCGAUGACGCGUAGCUGGUCUGAGAGGACGACCAGCCACAUCGGGACUGAGACACUGCCCGGACUCCUACGGGGGGCUGCAGUAACGAAUCUUCCGCAAUGCACGAAAGUGUGACGGAGCGACGCCGCGUGUAGGAUGAAGUCCUUCGGGAUGUAAACUACUGUCAGGGGUAAGAAAGUUCUGAUCUACCCCAGAGGAAGAGGCGGCUAACUCUGUGCCAGCAGCCGCGGUAAUACAGAGGCCUCGAGCGUUAGGCGGAAUCACUGGGCUUAAAGCGUGUGUAGGUGGAUGCCUAAGUACCUUGUGAAAUCCCACGGCUUAACCGUGGAACUGCUUGGUAUACUGGGUGUCUUGAGCCACUCAGGGGCUACCGGAACAAAUGGUGGAGCGGUGAAAUGCGUAGAUAUCAUUUGGAACGCCAAUGGUG